UACGGAGGGUGCAAGCGUUAUCCGGAUUUACUGGGUUUAAAGGGUGUGUAGGCGGACUUUUAAGUCAGGGGUGAAAUCCCGAGGCUCAACCUCGGAACUGCCUUUGAUACUAUUGGUCUUGAAUGUUGUUGAGGUGGGCGGAACGGGUCAUGUAGCGGUGAAAUGCAUAGAUAUGACCCGGAACACCAAUGGCGAAGGCAGCUCUCUGGGACGGUACUGACGCUGAGACGCGAAAGCGUGGGGAGCGAACAGG
rnacentral:rRNA from 1 species